rnacentral:sRNA from 1 species
CCAUAUUCUUCGGGGAGAGGGAUGAGAACCUUCGAUCAAGGUUCGAGUCGAGCAGCGCGAGACAACGCGCGCAAGCGCGGCCCGCAGGGUGAAAACAUUCUCCUAAACCUGCUUCCCGCUUUU